CUACUCGACUCCUACGGGAGGCAGCAGUGGGGAAUAUCGCACAAUGGGGGGAAGCCCUGAUGCAGCCAUGCCGCGUGUGUGAAGAAGGCCUUCGGGUUGUAAAGCACUUUCAGUAGGGAGGAAGGUAGUGUAGUUAACACCUGCACUAUUUGACGUUACCUACAGAAGAAGCACCGGCUAACUCCGUGCCAGCAGCCGCGGUAAUACGGAGGGUGCGAGCGUUAAUCGGAAUUACUGGGCGUAAAGCGCAUGCAGGCGGCCUGUUAAGUCAGAUGUGAAAGCCCCGGGGCUUAACCUCGGAAUUGCAUUUGAAACUGGCAGGCUAGAGUCUUGUAGAGGGGGUAGAAUUUCAGGUGUAGCGGUGAAAUGCGUAGAGAUCUGAAGGAAUACCAGUGGCGAAGGCGGCCCCCUGGACAAAGACUGACGCUCAGAUUGCGAAAGCGUGGGGAGCAAACAGGAUUAGAUACCCUGGUAG
rnacentral:rRNA from 1 species